UCCCUGGUGGUCCAGUGGCUAAAACUCUGAGCUUCCAAUGCAGGGGGCCCGGGUUCAAUCCCUGGUCAGGAAA
rnacentral:tRNA from 1 species